CUCUACUAGUGACCUGUAGGAACCUGGGCCUGCAGGCUUGCAGUUCACAUCAUUUUAAUCCUGGAUGAAACAUCCGAAUUUGAUCAAUACAGUGGCCUCAGGGUUAUGUUCUGCUACUUACCUGUCUUAUGUCAAAUGAUGACACAAGAACAUGAUAGAGACUGGUAAUGAGCAGCAUGCUUGGAGUGUGGUAUUUGAUAAUAGCAAAGCCCAUGAUUUGUGCUCAGAGCAAUCAAGGGGAUGACAUCACACAAUAUUCAGGACUUUUCAUCUCCAGCAGCGAGGGAUUUGCUGGUCGAUACACUCUGUUACAAAAGGUGACUUAUUGAUGCUGCCAGAUGAAAUGCUUGGCUGAUCUUCAGGAUAUCUUUCAGACAAUAUACAUUUACUCACCAAAGAUACUCUCCUAAACCUGACAAGCUCUCACAAUUCAGUUCUUAUAUUCUUAACAUUCAAUGAGGAUGAAACACAGCUGCCCCACAAGUCAUCAAUGCUCAUCUUGAGAAAUGCUCAUUAGAAGUUUCUGCAUCUUGGAAUAUUUACUAAUAAGGUACUAAAGAAAAUUAAAUCAGUAUCAAUCUGCUUCUCUAUGAAUGAAAGAAUUUCUGAAUCCUAUGGUACAAUCUGAGAAGUUUCACAUCUGGUCCUUGAACUGAAUAACCCAGAGCUCUGUUGGAGACACCUGAUGAUGGUAGUAAGUUACCAAUAUGAAGGCAAUGGAUUUAGAAAUCUCUUCUGUAAAUGAGAGUAUGUACAUAUAAGAACUUCAGUUAUCAUAAUUACUAUAUUUUACUAUAGGGGAAAGAACGUCUUUGAAUUUGAUGGAAGCUAAAUUAUUUUAAAUGUGGGGGGCAAAACAUUUUAAAAUACAAACAUACCAGAAAUGUUGAAAACUAAAGAUAAUGGGGGCACAGAUAUAAAAUAAUAAUUACUUACAGAAAGGAAAAUUUUGCCCUCAAAAGUAGAAGAAAAAUUAAGCGAAUUUAUUCCAAAGUUACAUUAAUCUAUUAUUUACUACAGAAGGGAUGAAACCCAUAUUCUAUCACUGUAUGUAGCUGCUAUUGACAAAACAAUUCAUGUUUUCUGUACGACUUAGCUAGCCAGCCAUCACACUCUACACCAGUACCACUUGUGCUUCAUCUUCAGAUAAAGCUCAAUGUUAUCGUAAUAUGGAGGACCACAGAAAGCUGGGAAAAACCCUAUGACUAAAGCAAUAAGUGCCAACGUUCUACUUAUGGAUUAAAAAACCAAAACAAUACAGCAACUGACGAAACAGUAAAAGCUAUGAAGUAAAUAGGAUUAGUAAUCGCUACUUCAGAUGAGUUACUUGAAAGUGGGAGAAAGUACAAGGUGACCUCUUAAUUGCUUACAGUGUGAUGAGCGUAGAUAAAAACAUCUGCUACAUUCCCAGAUAAUUUG